rnacentral:lncRNA from 10 species
AUGAUGGUGAGGCUGAAAGCAGGAAAAGAUUUGACCCAUCUCCCACCCCGGGGAAGGCAUCAGGGACUCCCUUUGCCCUCCCACUGACCUCCCUGCAAACCUCCCCCAAACCAAGGGGCAUCCUCAGCUGGCCAGACCCUGGGGGAAGGGAGAGAGCCGAGGAUCACCGGCACCUGUGGCUGGGUUACCCCUGCCAUGGACCACUGGGUACGGGCCCCUCGGUAUUGGUAAAUGUCAUAUCCUCAGGAUCAAGAAGUCAUUCCAAAAUGUGAAGCGUUCUGAAGAUAUGCACAUAGCGUAAGAACCUGGUGUAAUGUGCUGGUCAAGGCGGUCUCAGAGAGGAGAUGACGUUUGAGCUGACACCUGAGGGAUGAGAAGAAAGCAGCCAUUCCCAGGGCCCAGGGGAGGCAUCCCAGGAAGCCGGAUCAGCAUGAGCAAAAGCCCUGAGGCCUGGCACAAGUUGGUCUGCUUGAGAAGCAGGAGAGAGCCCUGAGCAUCCGGAGUGCAGCAAGCGAGAUGAGCAAGUCAAGAUGCAGAAGGACUCUCUGGCUUGUCCAAGGUCACACGGCUGUUAGGAGCAGAGCAGCGUCCUGGUGCCCAAGCCCUGAGGUCCCCAGCACACUGCCUCUGCAAUGGCCACAACUGUCCAAAGACUAAGCUGACUCUCACACCU